CGGCCUGUCAUUGGGGAGUAGCCAGCCUCGUCCCCAGAGGCGUCCGCAUCAACAGACUUGGCCGCCAUGUUUCCGGCGCCAUGGUGCGGACAGCAGCCGCCGCCACCAGGUGGCGCCUUGCCCGGCGAGACCUUUGGCCAGCGACAUGUUCACCCGGCCGGGCGAGCGGUGUCGUUGCGCCAUCGGUUCAU
rnacentral:sRNA from 2 species